CUCAGUAACACGUGGACAACCUACCCUUUGGACUGGGAUAACCCCGGGAAACUGGGGAUAAUACCGGAUAGAUCAAGGAUGCUGGAAUGCGCCUUGAUCCAAAGCUCCGGCGCCAAAGGAUGGGUCUGCGGCCUAUCAGGUAGUAGUGGGUGUAACGUACCUACUAGCCAACGACGGGUACGGGUUGUGAGAGCAAGAGCCCGGAGAUGGAUUCUGAGACACGAAUCCAGGCCCUACGGGGUGCAGCAGGCGCGAAACCUUUACAAUGUGCGAAAGCAUGAUAAGGGAACUCCGAGUGCCAGUAUCUAAUACUGGCUGUCCUUGUGCCUAAAACGCACAAGAUAGCAAGGGCCGGGUAAGACCGGUGCCAGCCGCCGCGGUAACACCGGCGGCCCGAGUGGUAGCCGCUAUUAUUGGGUCUAAAGGGUCCGUAGCCGGUUCGAUAAGUCCUCUGGGAAAUCUGGUUGCUUAACAAUCAGACUGCCAAGGGAUACUGUCGAACUUGAGACCGGGAGAGGUAAGAGGUACUUCAGGGGUAGGAGUGAAAUCUUGUAAUCCCUGGGGGACCAUCUGUGGCGAAGGCGUCUUACCAGAACGGGUCUGACGGUGAGGGACGAAAGCUGGGGGCGCAAACCGGAUUAGAUACCCGGGUAGUCCCAGCCGUAAACGAUGCUCGCUAUGUGUCAGGUACGGUGUGACCGUAUCUGGUGCCGUAGGGAAGCCGUGAAGCGAGCCACCUGGGAAGUACGGUCGCAAGACUGAAACUAAAG
rnacentral:rRNA from 1 species